rnacentral:sRNA from 1 species
UUCUCGCUUGCACUGAAAAUAGAAAUUAAAAACCAAAGUAAACAAUCAAAAAGACCAAAAACAAUAACAACCCGCACCGAGCCGAGCAUCAGUGAGGCAUUGCAAAAAUUUCAAAGUCAAGUUUGCGUCGUCAUCGCGUCUGAGUCCGAUCAAGCCGGGCUUGUAAUUGAAGUUGUUGAUGAGCCGCGGGAUUACUGGAUUGUGGCGAAUUCUGAAUGCGACGGCGCCAUCAUCCUGUUUGGGAAUUCAAUUCGCGGGCAGCUCGCUUAAUUCAAUCAAAAGAGGUGUUUUUUGGAAUUACCAAAAGAGGCAUUUGUUUUCUGGGAUUAUCCAAAUGAGAAGAUAUUCCAAUUCUUGCUUGGAACAUUUUCAAGGUUCCGGAUAUAUUUGAAUACACUAGCUAGCAGUGCUGGAUGUUGUACUUGAGGAAUUGGCUACCGUAGCGAUUUCCCCCGCCGUAAAGUUCCUGAUCCUCGUUGUUUUUGUACAUCAUGAAGUCCGGAUUCUGGUCGUCGCCGAAGAUGGGAACGAAGCUGCCGAAGCUGAGGGUCUGCUUGAGGUGCUGGUCCGGACGGCGUCCCAGCUGGAUAACCUUGCUGUACAGAUCCGCAUCUGCCUGGAGGGCACGAUCGAAGUCCUUCCAGUGGACGAACUUCACCUGCUCGCUGGGUAUAGCGUUGUUGUCGAGUAGCUCAAGGAGCGUAUUCGAGUUGACGGGCUGCACCACGUUAAGUUCCUGCUCCUUUGCUGCUGAUUCCCCUGCGGGCAAGCGGCGCUUGCUUGGACUCGUGUCCAGAUCCCAUAGCCAGGCCAGCAGAGGAGUCACAGAGCUCUGGAAAUCGUUUAUGGUUUAUAAAUACCCUUUAGGAAAGCCCUUGGGUAUGACUCACGUGCUCACUGCGUCCUAUGCGAGGAAUGGUCUUUAGGUUCUUUAUGGCAAAGUUCUCGCCUCGCUUGCCCAGCCGCGGUACGUUCUUGGUGAUCUUUAGGAAGAAUCCUGGACUACUGUCGUCUGCCUGGCUGAUGGCCACAAGAGCCACCAAGAGCGAAACGGACAGGACUGUAAUAAUUCUCAUGCUGAUGCGACUGAAGCUUCACCUGACUCCUGCUCCACAAUUGGUGGUCUUUAUAUAGCGAGAUCCACCCGCAUCUUGCGUGGAACAGAAAUGCGGGCGACUCCAGGAAUUAGCAUUAUCGAUCGGAAAGUGCAAAGCAGAUAAAACUGAACUAACCUGACCUAAAUACCUGGCCAUAAAUAAAGUGCAUACAUUUUUACGUUACAUUUGUAUAAGAACCAAAUUUGAUAGCACAUACCACUUACAUACAUAUAUGCUUAAGUCUUCUCUCUUAUAUACGUUUUGAAGAUUAAAAGUAGUUUAUUUAAUUUCCUAAACAAUACCAACUAAAUGAUUCUGUACGGUUUUUUUCGAAAUACUUAAUAAAUAUAACAAGGAUUUUUGAUCUACUGCUA